rfam:Schistosoma margrebowiei strain Zambia genome assembly, scaffold: SMRZ_scaffold0001815
AUCCAGCUGAUGAGUCCCAAAUAGGACUAAGCGCGCAUCCUAUAU